rnacentral:misc_RNA from 1 species
GUUUUUAUCAGUGUUCCCAACGGCAGGUGCUGAAGCUUUACUCAGAGCAGCCUCUGAAAGCUUUGAAAAAUUGAGGAGGGAGGAUAGAAAAGACUGCUCAAAGGUGUCAGGAGGGGAACGUGAAGCCAAUGCAGCUGUGAUCAACGAUGACAAACUGGAUGCAAAUUAUGCCGAAGAAGAUGAAGAAGACGACGGGCUAGGAGUUGAGAGUGGUGAUG